rnacentral:tRNA from 1 species
UCCCCUUGUAGUGUAAUGGAUAACACAUAAGAUUCCGGUUCUUAGAAUAGGGGUUCGAUUCCCUUCGAGGGGACUAA